rnacentral:rRNA from 1 species
AUUGAACGCUGGCGGCGUGCUUUACACAUGCAAGUCGGACGGCAGCAUGGAGGAAACUCUGAUGGCGAGUGGCGAACGGGUGAGUAAUACAUCGAGACGUGACAUGUAGAGAGGGAUAACCCUUUGAAAGAGGGGCUAAUACCGCAUAAGUUCUGAGGAAGAAAGCUGGGGACUGAUGAAGCCUGGCGCUAUAUGAGCGGUCGAUGGCUGAUUAGCUAGUUGGUGGGGUAAAGGCUUACCAAGGCGAUGAUCGGUAGCUGUUCUGAGAGGAAGGUCAGCCACACUGGGACUGAGACACGGCCCAGACUCCUACGGGAGGCAGCAGUGGGGAAUUUUGGACAAUGGGGGGAACCCUGAUCCAGCAACGCCGCGUGAAUGAAGAAGGCCUUAGGGUUGUAAAGUUCUUUUAUCCGGGAGCAAGAUUUACUAAGUAAUAUGUAGUGAAUUUGAGAGUACUGGAGGAAAAAGCACCGGCUAACUACGUGCCAGCAGCCGCCGUAA